rnacentral:lncRNA from 1 species
UGCCAGCUCCCGGUGGAGGAGACGUAGAGAAAGCAACCGUGGAUUGCCAUGUACGCAACGUAGAGCUGAUCAUGAUAUCUGUCGAGCAGCAAAGAGAAUGGACCCAUUUCGUGGCAGGAAGGGGCCAAGCGUAGGCCAUGGCUUCCAAUUAACUGCUCCGGGAUCAUGAGACGUUCUCCAUCACACGGGCUCCAUGCUAAUGUGCAAUCGUCUGUGCCAUUGCCUCUGUGAACGAGGACCCAGGUUUUUGAAUCAUCCAUCUCCUCUAUCCUAUUUGCUACUUUAACCGCUGAACCUUUAGCCGAUGGAAACAGCUCCAGCCCUGGAUCAGAGACAAUCUCCCACUCACCAUCAUCACCCGGUAACCAUGCUCAAGACCUCAACCUAAUUAUCUAGGGUUCAUCUGGAUCUAUGGCUUACA